rnacentral:lncRNA from 1 species
GACGUCCUCAUUGCCAUUAUGAUACAAUUGUUUUGUUUUGUUUUACUUUUUAGAUGACUUGAUUCAAAAUGAGAAGUGGUUCUCCGUGACAUUUUGUCUGACAGACGAGACUCUUGCACACCCCUGAGGCCUCUUCAUACUCUGAAGAGGAUGCCGGCUUCAGAAACAUUCCUGAGAGUCAAGUUGUCUCGAUUCCUUUGGCUUAGCAUUGCAGAACUCCUUUCUUUCUGGCUAAUUCCAGAUCUAUGAAUGGGUUCUUGCUUAUGGAAGAAUGUGAUCUCUCUGUUUUAAAGACAUUUCCCAUUUUUUCUUUUUUUUUAAAUUAUACUUUAAGUUUUUAAAUUUUUUAAAAUUAUACUUUAAGUUUUAAAAUUAUAUUUAAAACAUUUGCACUCAGAUUUCAUCAUUUUAUUCAAUUUGCAAAUACAGCAAGUCAUUUCUCAGACAUUGGGUGAAAAAUACAGAGACUCCAGAACCUUGUAGGAUUGUGGAAAUGUGAGAACUGUUUUUUAGGUAACAUACAUUAACUUUAGAAAUGCCAACCGGGUGGAGCCCUUAGCUGUUUUUGAGCUUUUCU